GGAUAAAAAGGUUCAGGACCAGAAUACCUCUAUCCACUCACCUCCUGAGGUGCCUACAGAUCCUGUGCUGCUUGAAUCCUGCUCCUGAACACACACCUGCCAAGAUGUCCUGCCAGCAGAGCCAGCAGCAGUGCCAGCCCCCUCCCAAGUGCACCCCCAAGUGCCCUCAGAAGUGCUCUGCCCCAAAAUGCCCCCCAAAGUGUCCCCCUAAGUGCCCUCCAGCCCCUUCCUGCUGCAGUGUCAGCUCUGGGGGUUGCUGUGGCUCCAGCUCUGGGGGCUGCUGUGGCUCCAGCUCUGGGGGCUGCUGUAGCUCUGGGGGUGGUGGCUGCUGUCUGAGCCACCACAGGCCCCGCAGGUCCCACCGCCACAGACAGAGCUCUGGCUGCUGCAGCCAGCCCUCAGGGGGCUCCAGCUGCUGUGGAGGGGGCAGCAGCCAGCAAUCUGGAGGCUGCUGCUGAAGUGGACCCUGGUCCUAGAUGAGCAGAAUUGAGAACUUCCAACUCAGAGGACAUCCUCCUUCUCAGGCCUGCCUGAGAUUGGGAGGUCCAGAAGACUCUGAACUUAGGAUGAGUGCAUCCUUCCUCGGAUUCAGAAACUCAAAACUCUCCUGAAUGCUAUCCAUUGGUCUUAGACUCCACCUGUGUGGUUACCCCCCACAUUUCCAUACUGAAGAUACUAAUGUACUUUAUGUCUUACUUCUUAACAGUGUGUAUCUACUGAUGAAAACAAUAAAAUAAGGAGUCUGCUUAGCA